rnacentral:lncRNA from 1 species
UAGUGAACAAUUCAAUAUCGAGAAAUGUAUAUUAGUGUGUGCGACCACAGACAGCGAUGGCGGCAAGUCCUAUAAUAUGUUUCCUGCUCCAGAUUACAUCUUUUGCGGGAUGGCUGCAGAAACACCACAGGCUUGCAUCAGCGGCAUCUGCCGAGAAGUUCCAGCAGCACCAAAGCACAUUCAUAAGUUGUGGAAGGCCACUGUAAAUUAGCAGUACGAAUUGAGGUCCGCUCUACAUAAUAAGUGACAUUUCGGCUUCCAUGAUCGUGGAGAUUCGUUGCGCCGAAAUGAUUCCAAAUGUAAAUCCCCAUGGUGGGUCUUUCGCAGAAUGCGGUACUUUUUUUUAGUGAAAUUGCAAAAUAAGUCAUAUGCAUUAAAACUGGAGUUCUUUUGUA